AGUGAACGCUAGCGGCGUGGUUCAGACAUGCAAGUCGAACGCUCUCGCAAGGGAGAGUGGCGAACGGGUGAGUAACACGUGAACAAUUUACCUUCAAAUUGGGGAUAGCCUUCCGAAAGGAGGGGUAAUACCGAAUGUGGCGCUCUAUCGCAUGAUAGGGGAGCUAAAGGCGGGGACCGCAAGGCCUGCCGUUUGAAGAUGAGUUCGCGGCCUAUCAGCUAGUUGGCGGGGUAACGGCCCACCAAGGCGAAGACGGGUAGCUGUUCUGAGAGGAUGAUCAGCCACACUGGAACUGAGAUACGGUCCAGACACCUACGGGUGGCAGCAGUUUCGAAUUAUUUGCAAUGGGGGGCAACCCUGACAGUGCAACGCCGCGUGAGGGAUGAAGGUCUUCGGAUCGUAAACCUCUGUCACCGGACAUUAAUGUGCGUUAGUUAAUAGCUGACGUAUUGAAAAUCCGGAGAGGAAGCAGUGGCUAACUCCGUGCCAGCAGCCGCGGUAAU
rnacentral:rRNA from 1 species